rnacentral:rRNA from 1 species
GAUGAACGCUGGCGGCGUGCCUAAUACAUGCCAGUCGAGCGAACGGACGAGAAGCUUGCUUCUCUGAUGUUAGCGGCGGACGGGUGAGUAACACGUGGAUAACCUACCUAUAAGACUGGGAUAACUUCGGGAAACCGGAGCUAAUACCGGAUAAUAUUUUGAACCGCAUGGUUCAAAAGUGAAAGACGGUCUUGCUGUCACUUAUAGAUGGAUCCGCGCUGCAUUAGCUAGUUGGUAAGGUAACGGCUUACCAAGGCACCGAUGCAUAGCCGACCUGAGAGGGUGAUCGGCCACACUGGAACUGAGACACGGUCCAGACUCCUACGGGAGGCAGCAGUAGGGAAUCUUCCGCAAUGGGCGAAAGCCUGACGGAGCAACGCCGCGUGGGUGAUGAAGGUCUUCGGAUCGUAAAACUCUGUUAUUAGGGAAGAAUAUAUGUGUAAGUAACUGUGCACAUCUUGACGGUACCUAAUCAGAAAGCCACGGCUAACUACGUG